UACAGAGGGUGCAAGCGUUAAUCGGAAUUACUGGGCGUAAAGCGCACGUAGGUGGUUAAUUAAGUUGGAUGUGAAAACCCCGGGCUCAACCUGGGAAUUGCAUACAAUACUGGUUAACUAGAGUAUGGUAGAGGAUAGAGGAAUUUCCAGUGUAGCGGUGAAAUGCGUAGAUAUUGGAAGGAACAUCAGUGGCGAAGGCGUCUAUCUGGAGUAAUACUGACACUGAGGAGCGAAAGCGUGGGUAUCGAACAGG
rnacentral:rRNA from 1 species